rnacentral:rRNA from 1 species
UACGUAGGGUGCGAGCGUUAAUCGGAAUUACUGGGCGUAAAGCGUGCGCAGGCGGUUUUGUAAGCCAGAUGUGAAAUCCCCGGGCUUAACCUGGGAAUGGCAUUUGGGACUGCAAGGCUGGAGUUUGGCAGAGGAGACUGGAAUUCCUGGUGUAGCAGUGAAAUGCGUAGAGAUGUGGAGGAACACCGAUGGCGAAGGCAGCCCCCUGGGCUAACACUGACGCUCAUGCACGAAAGCGUGGGGAGCAAACAGG